GAUGAACGCUGGCGGCGUGCCUAAUACAUGCAAGUCGAGCGAACGGACGAGAAGCUUGCUUCUCUGAUGUUAGCGGCGGACGGGUGAGUAACACGUGGAUAACCUACCUAUAAGACUGGGAUAACUUCGGGAAACCGGAGCUAAUACCGGAUAAUAUUUUGAACCGCAUGGUUCAAAAGUGAAAGACGGUCUUGCUGUCACUUAUAGAUGGAUCCGCGCUGCAUUAGCUAGUUGGUAAGGUAACGGCUUACCAAGGCAACGAUGCAUAGCCGACCUGAGAGGGUGAUCGGCCACACUGGAACUGAGACACGGUCCAGACUCCUACGGGAGGCAGCAGCAGGGAAUCUUCCGCAAUGGGCGAAAGCCUGACGGAGCAACGCCGCGUGAGUGAUGAAGGUCUUCGGAUCGUAAAACUCUGUUAUUAGGGAAGAACAUAUGUGUAAGUAACUGUGCACAUCUUGACGGUACCUAAUCAGAAAGCCACGGCUAACUACGUG
rnacentral:rRNA from 1 species